rnacentral:rRNA from 1 species
GACGAACGCUGGCGGCGUGCUUAACACAUGCAAGUCGAACGGAAAGGCCCUGCUUUUGUGGGGUGCUCGAGUGGCGAACGGGUGAGUAACACGUGAGUAACCUGCCCUUGACUUUGGGAUAACUUCAGGAAACUGGGGCUAAUACCGGAUAGGAGCUCCUGCUGCAUGGUGGGGGUUGGAAAGUUUCGGCGGUUGGGGAUGGACUCGCGGCUUAUCAGCUUGUUGGUGGGGUAGUGGCUUACCAAGGCUUUGACGGGUAGCCGGCCUGAGUGGGUGACCGGCCACAUUGGGACUGAGAUACGGCCCAGACUCCUACGGGAGGCAGCAGUGGGGAAUAUUGCACAAUGGGCGGAAGCCUGAUGCAGCAACGCCGCGUGCGGGAUGACGGCCUUCGGGUUGUAAACCGCUUUCGCCUGUGACGAAGCGUGAGUGACGGUAAUGGGUAAAGAAGCACCGGCUAACUACGUG